rnacentral:rRNA from 1 species
CGGGUGAGUAACACGGUAUGCAACCUGCCUGCCACAGCCGGAUAAUCGGGAGAAAUUCCGUCUAAUACGGCAUAAUGCAUCGACGGGACAUCCUGUUGGUGCCAAAGGUUGAUUCCGGUGGCGGAUGGGCAUGCGUCGCAUUAGUUAGUUGGCGGUGUAACGGACCACCAAGACGACGAUGCGUAGGGGUUCUGAGAGGAAGGUCCCCCACACUGGUACUGAGACACGGACCAGACUCCUACGGAAGGCAGCAG